rnacentral:rRNA from 1 species
AUCGUGGGGGAUAACUGCGCGAAAGCGUUGCUAAUACCGCAUACGACCUGAGGGUGAAAGCAGGGGACCGCAAGGCCUUGCGUCGAUGGAGCGGCCGAUGCCGGAUUAGCUAGUUGGUGAGGUAAAGGCUCACCAAGGCGACGAUCCGUAGCUGGUCUGAGAGGACGACCAGCCCACACUGGGACUGAGACACGGCCCAGACUCCUACGGGAGGCAGCAGUGGGGAAUAUUGGACAAUGGGCGAAAGCCUGAUCCAGCAAUGCCGCGUGUGUGAAGAAGGUCUUCGGAUUGUAAAAGCACUUUUUGGCGGGAAAGAAAUGGUCUGUGCUAAUACCACGGAUUGAUGACGGUACCCGCAGAAUAAGCACCGGCUAACUACGUG